AGCGAACGCUGGCGGCAGGCCUAACACAUGCAAGUCGAACGAACCCUUCGGGGUUAGUGGCGGACGGGUGAGUAACACGUGGGAACGUGCCUUUAGGUUCGGAAUAACUCAGGGCAACUUGUGCUAAUACCGAAUGUGCCCUUCGGGGGAAAGAUUUAUCGCCAUUGGAGCGGCCCGCGUCUGAUUAGCUAGUUGGUGAGGUAAAGGCCCACCAAGGCGACGAUCAGUAGCUGGUCUGAGAGGAUGAUCAGCCACAUUGGGACUGAGACACGGCCCAAACUCCUACGGGAGGCAGCAGUGGGGAAUCUUGCGCAAUGGGCGAAAGCCUGACGCAGCCAUGCCGCGUGAAUGAUGAAGGUCUUAGGAUUGUAAAAUUCUUUCACCGGGGACGAUAAUGACGGUACCCGGAGAAGAAGCCCCGGCUAACUUCGUGCCAGCCGCCGCGGUAACAC
rnacentral:rRNA from 1 species